UGCAAGUCGGACGCGAAAGGGGGCAACCCCCGGUAGCGUGGCAGACGGGUGAGUAACACGUGGGUAACCUGCCCGGAGGUGGGGAAUAACCCUUCGAAAGGAGGGCUAAUACCGCAUGACAUCCCGGGGUAUUCGGACCUCGGGAUCAAAGCUGGCCUCUGCUUGCAAGCUAGCGCCACCGGAGGGGCCCGCGCCCCAUUAGCUAGUUGGUGAGGUAACGGCCCACCAAGGCGACGAUGGGUAGCCGGCCUGAGAGGGCGACCGGCCACACUGGAACUGAGACACGGUCCAGACUCCUACGGGAGGCAGCAGUGAGGAAUAUUGCGCAAUGGGCGAAAGCCUGACGCAGCGACGCCGCGUGGAGGAUGAAGGUCUUCGGAUUGUAAACUCCUGUCUAGUGGGACGAAUGCCAUGGGGGUGAACAACUCUCGUGGUUGACGGUACCGCUGGAGGAAGCCCCGGCUAACUCCGUGCCAGCAGCCGCGGUAAUACGGAGGGGGCCAGCGUUGUUCGGAAUCAUUGGGCGUAAAGGGCGCGUAGGCGGCUACUCAAGUCGGACGUGAAAUCCCCCGGCUCAACCGGGGAACUGCCUCCGAUACUGUGUGGCUCGAGUCCCGGAGAGGGUAGCGGAAUUCCCAGUGUAGCGGUGAAAUGCGUAGAUACUGGGAGGAACACCGGUGGCGAAUGCGGCUACUUGGAC
rnacentral:rRNA from 1 species